rnacentral:rRNA from 1 species
AGAGUUUGAUCCUGGCUCAGGACGAACGCUGGCGGCGCGCCUAACACAUGCAAGUCGAACGGAAUCAAGAGGAGCUUGCUUUUCUUGAUUUAGUGGCGAACGGGUGAGUAACGCGUGAGUAACCUGCCCUGGAGUGGGGGACAACAGUUGGAAACGACUGCUAAUACCGCAUAAGCCCACGGUGCUGCAUGGCACUGCGGGAAAAGGAUUUAUUCGCUCUAGGAUGGACUCGCGUCCAAUUAGCUAGUUGGUGAGGUAACGGCCCACCAAGGCGACGAUUGGUAGCCGGACUGAGAGGUUGAACGGCCACAUUGGGACUGAGACACGGCCCAGACUCCUACGGGAGGCAGCAGUGGGGGAUAUUGCACAAUGGGGGAAACCCUGAUGCAGCGACGCCGCGUGGAGGAAGAAGGUUUUCGGAUUGUAAACUCCUGUCGUUAGGGACGAUAAUGACGGUACCUAACAAGAAAGCACCGGCUAACUACGUGCCAGCAGCCGCGGUAAAACGUAGGGUGCAAGCGUUGUCCGGAAUUACUGGGUGUAAAGGGAGCGCAGGCGGGAAGACAAGUUGGAAGUGAAAACCAUGGGCUCAACCCAUGAAUUGCUUUCAAAACUGUUUUUCUUGAGUAGUGCAGAGGUAGAUGGAAUUCCCGGUGUAGCGGUGGAAUGCGUAGAUAUCGGGAGGAACACCAGUGGCGAAGGCGGUCUACUGGGCACCAACUGACGCUGAGGCUCGAAAGCAUGGGUAGCAAACAGGAUUAGAUACCCUGGUAGUCCAUGCCGUAAACGAUGAUUACUAGGUGUUGGAGGAUUGACCCCUUCAGUGCCGCAGUUAACACAAUAAGUAAUCCACCUGGGGAGUACGACCGCAAGGUUGAAACUCAAAGGAAUUGACGGGGGCCCGCACAAGCAGUGGAGUAUGUGGUUUAAUUCGAAGCAACGC